CUUUGUGCCUUAUGUUUAAAGUUUAGAGAUAAGUAUAAUCGUCCUGGAUGGGGAGAGUGAGGAUAGUUCAGGAUUGAAUAGCGAAGGAGACAGACGUCUCGAGUACCCAGCUGUUCUUGUCAUGACUUGGGUGGGAACUGCCAGGACUGAAUGAUUGAAAUAAGCUUGGUCCAUCUUGGCCUGCAAAGCCUUGGUGCCUAAGCUUUCCUUCAAGUUUGGCCUUUAAUGUAAUGAGUCAUUACAUUAUGGGAGGAGGCGCCUCAUAGGAGUGAUCGAAAGAAAUUCCUCGUCUUCCAGCGCUCCCUGACGGCUCAAAUUAUAUGUAAGUUAUAACAUGAAGCUGCAUGCAACUCUUCAUUAUUUAAAUAUUGAUAAUUAUAAUUCUUACUCGAGGUAAAAUUUAUGAAUUGGACAGGCAGCUCAGUAGAUAAAGUGUCACAUUCUUCACUUCAAGCAUCCCGGUUAUCUUAGAGUCGACCCCACUCGCGGUAGUGCAGACAGAUUAUACCAACCAUGACUACCCUAUACACGUACCAAAUUAAAAAAAAAAAUUUAAUAUCACUAUCGUCCACAUAGUUUUUGGUAAAAAUUAGUUCAAAAACUGAAAUUACAAUAAUAUUUACUAACACGUUUAUUUCUGUAGUGAUUUCGUUCUAAAGAGUAUACUAUAAAAUAUAUUGAAAUGUUCAUUUACCCAAAACGCUAAUGUUAAUAUUAAAAAUUAAACAAUUUACUAGAAUAAGUUUCUCCGUAGCCCUGGCAGUUUGUUUGCCAAGGAUUGAACCAAGUUCGCUCCGAGACUUGCUAGUUAAGCAUGGGCCCCGGCCAUUGUUCUGAGUUUAACGCAAGCUCGAAUUCUAAGAUUGGACCAAGCUCCGAUACAAGUGGCAUAAGCUUGGCUCAACCUUCAACCCACCCGCCCGCUUGUAAGAUACCGAGGACAAGUCUAAAAUAUUUAAAAACACAUAUUACAUCUCUUUCAUUAGUGAUCAAUUUCCUCGAUUAUAUGUAAAGUACCGAGGUAAUUCGAAGCCAAGCCUCACAUAUUCUCAUUAAUUUUAUCCAUAUAUUUGAAUACAAUAAAUAAUAAAAUUCAAACGAUUCAAAUCUCUAUUGUGAACGAAUUUUUUUGGGGGUUUUAUACAACGUAUAAGUUGCAUUUAUUAAAAAAAAAGUCAUGUUAUGUAAUUUCUUACACACGUAUCCGUCAACGUAAAAUGUCUCUAUGCGUUAUCUCAACUGCAAAAUAGAAAGAAAAUGAUACAAAAGAAAAUUCUACCGCGUCUCAAGCGGGUCAUCUGAGCCUUUUAAAACGGGAAAAAAAUUCAAACCAUUUCGUCGUGUCAAUUCAUACUCGAUUUACGAUUUCCUUUCUUUCCGUGGGCACGUGGAGACUGUUAUUUUCCAAUUCGAGAAGAGUUUAAAAAUCGAACAGGUACCGGAGGGAUUUUCUGCUAUAAGAAGAAAGAAAUAAGGGAAAUGAACAAUAUACUAUAUGUAUAUACACUUAUACAUACAGAUAUAUAACGUUGUUUUCCAAGGAAUAGAAUGUUCCCCGAGUCAGGAAAAGUGUGUCGUGAAUUAUAGGGUGGCUUCAUGGAAAGGUUUAUUCACCAUUGCAGUUACUGUUACCUGUUAUGUACAAAUAGUCAGUCUACAAAUAAGCUGUCUCUUACGGGACCAUCUUUCUAUAGCUUUUAAUGUAAGAGAGUACCCUAGACCUUAAGAUUUACUUUUAGAUCGGCUCUUUUACCUUUCCGACCUUUUACGUUUUAGUUACCGUAUAUACCUCUUAUCAUAACCACCAGAAUUACUUUACAUAUAGGUCGAAGAAAAGUCUUUCUUGUAAUAGUUCACUUUUCUGUGCACAAAUAGAAUUGGGUGACCAUAACUUCUGACGACUAUAUGAUAGUUUACGAUGAGAAUCGGAAACCUUUGAAAGAAUUAUGUAA